rnacentral:rRNA from 1 species
GUAGGUGGCAGGCGUUGUCCGGAAUUAUUGGGCGUAAAGCGCGCGCAGGUGGUUCUUUAAGUCUGAUGUGAAAGACCCCCGGGCUCAACCGGGGAGGGUCAUUGGAAACUGGGGAACUUGAGUGCAGGAGAGGAAAGUGGAAUUCCACGUGUAGCGGUGAAAUGCGUAGAUAUGUGGAGGAACACCAGUGGCGAAGGCGACUUUCUGGCCUGUAACUGACACUGAGGCGCGAAAGCGUGGGGAGCAAACAGGAUUAGAUACCCUGGUAGUCCACGCCGUAAACGAUGAGUGCUAAGUGUUGGGGGGGUUUCCGCCCCUCAGUGCUGCAGCUAACGCAUUAAGCACUCCGCCUGGGGAGUACGGUCGCAAAGACUG